GGCACCUGCACAUAGGUGACAUAACUCUCUUGCCUGGGUCCUUUUCUAAAGGGGACUGGUGAAUGUCUCAGUACCCAGGACCAGGUGGGUCUCCAGCCUGGUUUCUUCAGCCUGGUUUCUGCCCACAUAUUCAACUGUGACAUAUAUCUAAAGAAGCACCCAGGAAUCAAAUCCGAGUUCGUCUACAGCUGAUUCGGCAGGUACCAGGGCGUCCGCGAUGGUGGUAUUGCUCCAUAUGCCUGAGACCCUAACAAAAGCCUAAUUACAACUCAUAUGCCUGGAGCCAGGACAUGUGCAGGAUGGUGAUGUAACUUUCCUCUCUGGAAUGGGUCCUGCACAAAGGAAUGAUAGUAACAUAUUGCAAAGCCAGACACACAGCCAUGAUGGUCCAAGUUAUAUUGGGAUUCAGCCAAUAGAAGAUAUUUUGCCUGUCAUCCCUAAGCUUAGGACAAUAGGGUCCUGCCCACAAGAAAGAUUGUGACAUCUCACUGGACAAGCACCCACCCAGACUCUGCCAAGAGAGGGGAUUAUUACAUAUUGCAGAGCCCAGCACCUAGGUGGAGUGACUCUCAUCUUUUUCUUCUACCCCGUAUAUAGCCAGCUUGGUGACCUACUAUUUGAGUCUAUACCCAGGCCCAGACCACAGAUGAAAUUGUGCAAUAUGUGGAACAAACACCUAAACAAUAUAUAACACCUUCCUUGGCUCUGUCUACAAAGGGCACUUUUAUAUAUCACUGGGACCAUCAACCAGGUGAUGUUAAUUAUCUUCCUGAAACCUGUCUACAAAGAGAGUUGUGUCGUAUACCUAGGCCCGUCAUGUAAGUGAUGUCAGUCCCUUCUACUGCCUUGGCCCUGCACUUACAGUGCAUUGUGACACAUAACAAGGUACUGCACACAGACGAUGUGAUUCUCCUUUUUGGGUUCUGCCAAAAGGAAGCAUUGUAAUAAAUCGCUUGGCUCAGUA
ensembl:lncRNA LINC00293 long intergenic non-protein coding RNA 293